AUCCCUGUAGCGCAUAGGAUAGCGCGUUGGACUUCAAAGUCCAGUGGGUUCGAAUCCCACAAGGGAUG